rnacentral:rRNA from 1 species
AUUGAACGCUGGCGGCAGGCCUAACACAUGCAAGUCGAGCGAGCGGCGGACGGGUGAGUAAUGUCUGGGAAACUGCCUGAUGGAGGGGGAUAACUACUGGAAACGGUAGCUAAUACCGCAUACCAUCAGAUGUGCCCAAAUGGGAUUAGCUAGUUGGUGGGGUAAUGGCUCACCAAGGCGACGAUCCCUAUCUGGUCUGAGAGGAUGACCAGCCACACUGGAACUGAGCCACGGUCCAGACUCCUACGGGAGGCAGCAGUGGGGAAUAUUGGACAAGUGGCGCAAGCCUGAUGCAGCCAUGCCGCGUGUGUGAAGAAGGCCGUCGGGUUGUAAAGCACUUUCAGCGGGGAGGCGUUACUCACAGAAGAAGCACCGGCUAACUCCGUGCCAGCAGCCGCGGUAGUUC